UGGUUAUCCAUCAGUGUCUUGCAUUUCAUCAGGCAAGCAUUAACACUUCCUGUUGGCGGUCACAGUGCUCACAGUCUAACAGAAUGGACACUGGAGUUGCAUUCUGUGACAUGGGGGCCUUUGAUGCUUAAAUGAAGAUGGAAAGGUUAGCAAUAACUGGGUAUCAAUUAGAAUUUGAGAAUUCUAUAUGUUUACAUUUUUUUAAUGUGCAUCUUUAUCCGGUGGGCUUCCCAUGUGGAAACUUGCACUAUAACGAAUUAAGAAGAAUAUUGCCUUGUUAUAUCUCAGUCCAAGUGCUUGUACUGCGAUGGCAAUGGCCUCUUCUUGCAAAAUACUGAUUUGUGUGCCAAUUUGUUUGAAAUUAUUUGAAGGCGGUUCCGCUUAAACUCAAAAUCCUCUUUCUGGGGUAGUUGAGUUGGAUUCUUAGUAUUUGGGGAGGGUACCUUUAAAUGAGAGAAUUAUCAGAAUUCAGCAAGAUUGGCCCUCAGGUUACAUGGACAGUUAAGCUUAAGUAAACUAUCUUGAUUAUUAAACAUAAGUUUAAUUGGAAAAAUUGAAGAUAAAAAAUAAACAUGAGCACAAGUCAGGAAAAAGUAGAAAAGGGUGUGGAAUUUACUUUAUUGCUAUAUUAAUUAUCAUGGGGGGAAAAGGAAUAAAAUAUUAUUAGAUUCUUUAAAUACUAAAGUAUAUAAUUUUGAACAUAUAUCUUAAAGUAUGCCUAUUUACUGAUAUGAUUAAAAUUAUGAGAAAUGAGCUCUAGCAGAGUAUACUUCUUGUGCACUAUAUAAUAGACUAGUCUUCACUGAGGGUAGUCUUUUAUAACUCUGAACUUUAAUAAUUUGAACUUACCUCCUUCAGAGCCCUGGUCUUCUAAACAGUGGCCCAAGGGAUUUUGCUGCUUAAAUCAGAUAAUGGUAUAUUCACAAGAAAAAAACAGAGUUAAGGGAUAGAAUUUGUCAGUAUUAAUUUUUGUUUCAUGAAAUUUUAUUCUGCCUUUGAUAUUUGCUGCCGCUCUUCUGUAGUAGCAUACAUGAGAUGUUUGUCUAGCAGGAAAUUAUUUUAAUUUUAAUAUAAAAUACUUCAUGAUAUACCAUCAAGAGGUAUAUGACCUUUGAGAACAACUAUUCUAAAGGGAUGAUAUGUGUUUAGAAAUGAAGACUGUACAGCACAUUUUCACCUUAUCGGGCAAUAAUUUGGGAGCAGAGCUUUUGAGCAGUAAAAUUUUAGCGUGGUUGAGCAUUUGAAAAUACUCUAAAGUCAGUAAUUUGUAUAAGGCCAACUCCAGCUUUGAUAAUACAUAAAUAUAGACACCAUCUGCAUUAGGUAGCAAUUAGUUUUGGGGUAAAGUCUUUUAAGUUUUGCUGUAAAGACCUAUUAAUGAAGAAUACUUCACGCAGAGUUAGUAGCUGAGUCACCUAACCUAUUAAUGAAUUCCUGUGCCAGCAAUUAUAAUAGUCUACUUCUGGUACCAGAGAGGUUUGCUUUCAGUGAACAUGCUUCUCUGUGAUAGUUGUGCUAGUAUAGUCCUGUGCCGAGAUUCAAUUCCUAGAACUGUGGUUUUUAAAAUUUAAAACAACUUAAAAUUGCUUUUUCUCUUGCAUGGGAAACUUGCCACUUCAUUGAUUUGCAUGCCAUAAGAGCUGUGCAUAUUGGUUACCAUUAAACAUGUAGCAAAAUUCAGUAACAAAAGUCUUGGGCUUUUCAUACUAAUAAGCUUACAUGACAUACCUAGUAUGUUUGAGGUGUGGCUAUGAGUAUGUGAUUAUCAGUUGGCCAGCAAAUGUUGGGCAUCCACAAAUGAGACUAUAUACUAAGUGUAGACAGGGACAGAGUCAUAAGUGUAUAAUCAAGUAUUGUUUAAAACAUAUUCUCAGAAUUCUUGAAUUUAAUUUCAUUUGGUAUUCCUUUCUUUAUUCAAAGCCUAAAAUGAGCCAAGAAAAAUAACAUGAUUUUAGAAGUACUAGUAGCUGUAUAUGUGGUUUCUGAUUUCUGGGAUGUAAUCAUUUUGUAAUAUUGUCUCAAAAUUUGGCGUUUGAAAUUUUCAGUUUUAGGGGAUAUUUAACAUCUAUAGUUUCAAAUUUUUAAAUUUAUGAGCAUUGUAAAUCCAUAUACUCAGGAUAUUUCCCUUGGACUUGAUUCUACACCUGAGUAGAGUAGAAGGAGGGGAGUAGUCAGUAAGUUUUUAGCUCUUGCCCUCCUUCAGUCCAGGAACAUUUUCCUCAGUUUUUCUUUUUCAUAAGGCAUCCUUAAGCUAUGAUUAAGUUUAUUGCUGGAAAAAAUCCUCAUGACUUUACAGAUAGAACUAUAAACUAUGUGAUUUCUUGUACUCAGAGGAUAGACCUAACAAAAAUUAACUUUCAGAUUUUCACCAUUACCUAGGGUUUACCCAAAAGUUUACACCAAAGAUUUAGAGACAAUGUGCUUUUGCUUAACUGUCCGGUUUUUCUUUUUAAACAAAUAUAAGCAGGGCAGGGAUAUAUAGAUACAUGUCUAAAUAUGAAUAUUGAAAGGAAAAGAAAGUGAACAAAUCUAAUUUUACAUGAAAUUAAAUAUCUGGGGUUAGUAGAAAAAUUUGAAAAGAGUUAAGAGGAUACCAAGAAGCUUAAGCUGGACUAGCCUUAUUUGCAAGUGAAGGAUCUGGUGCUGCUUUCAGAUGUUUAUCCUUUGUGUUUUAAAAUUUUUUCUUAAGCUUUAAUCUUUGUUAUUGUCUUAAAGUCAGCUGGUGUUUCUUGUUCAUGGACUUUGGUACGAUGGUGCUUUGCAAGGAUGUAUUUAUAUUUUAAUGGCCAACAUUUGGUCAGCCCGUGUCCACUAUUCACUUCCCCCUUUUUGUAAAAUAAGUGCUUUAAUUGUAAAAUGUAUAAAAAUACCUUGUAUAAAUUCCCUUUUGAUUAUUACAAUAAGCUGAGUUGUAACAAAUGAAAUGUUGAUUUUUAUAAUAAAACCGUGGAAAGUAAAA
rnacentral:lncRNA from 1 species